rnacentral:rRNA from 1 species
UUUUAAUUGAAGGCUUGUAUGAAGGGUUGGACAAAGAAUAAUCUGUUUUUAUUUUUCUUUUUGAAUUUAACUUUUAAGUGAAAAGGCUUAAAUAAGUUUAAGGGACGAUAAGACCCUAUAAAUCUUUAUAUUAGUUUAUCUUUAGUAGUUUAAUAGUGAGUAAAUGUUAUGAUAAGAAUAAAUAAUAUUUUGUUGGGGCGGCGAAAAUAUAAAUAUUAACUGUUUUAUAAUUUAAACAAAGGUGUUUGUUAUGAGUAAUAGAUCCUGCUUAUAGAUCUAAAAGUUAAGUUACUUUAGGGAUAACAGCGUUAUUUUUCUUGAGAGUUCUUAUCGAAAGAAAAGGUUGCGACCUCGAUGUUGAAUUAAAAUUUCUUUAUGGUGUAGGUGUUAUAAAAGAGAGUCUGUUCGACUUUUAAAAUUUUACGUGAUCU